GCCAUAGCUCAGUGGUAGAAUAUCUGCCUUGCAUGCAGAAGGUCUCUGGUUCAAUCCCUGAUAUCUCCA